rnacentral:rRNA from 1 species
AUUGAACGCUGGCGGCGUGCUUAACACAUGCAAGUCGAACGCGAAAGAGACUUCGGUCUCGAGUAGAGUGGCGCACGGGUGAGUAACGCGUGGAUAAUCUGCCCUCAUGACCGGGAUAACAGUUGGAAACGGCUGCUAAUACCGGAUACGCUCUGAAUGAACUUUUAGGGGAAAGACGGCCUCUGCUUGCAAGCUGUCGUAUGAGGAUGAGUCCGCGUCCCAUUAGCUAGUUGGCGGGGUAACGGCCCACCAAGGCAACGAUGGGUAGCCGAUCUGAGAGGAUGAUCGGCCACACUGGAACUGAAACACGGUCCAGACUCCUACGGGAGGCAGCAGUGGGGAAUAUUGCGCAAUGGGCGAAAGCCUGACGCAGCGACGCCGCGUGAGGGAUGAAGGUUUUCGGAUCGUAAACCUCUGUCAGAAGGGAAGAAAGUGCGUGGUGCUAAUCAGCCGCGCAUUGACGGUACCUUCAAAGGAAGCACCGGC